rnacentral:rRNA from 1 species
GCGGUGGAUGAUGUGGUUUAAUUCGAUGCAACGCGAAAACCUUACCUACCCUUGACAUGCCAAGAAUUUUGCAGAGAUGUGAAAGUGCUCGAAAGAGAACUUGAACACAGGUGCUGCAUGGCCGUCGUCAGCUCGUGUCGUGAGAUGUUGGGUUAAGUCCCGCAACGAGCGCAACCCUUGUCAUUAGUUGCUACCGCAAGGAGCACUCUAAUGAGACUGCCGGUGACAAACCGGAGGAAGGUGGGGAUGACGUCAGGUCCUCAUGGCCCUUAUGGGUAGGGCUACACACGUCAUACAAUGGCCGGUACAGAGGGCUGCCAACCCGCGAGGGGGAGCCAAUCCCAGAAAACCGGUCGUAGUCCGGAUCGUAGUCUGCAACUCGACUGCGUGAAGUCGGAAUCGCUAGUAAUCGCGGAUCAGCUUGCCGCGGUGAAUACGUUCCCGGGUCUU